CCCAGAUUUAAUCACAGCUGGCUUUCUGCAGUGCCCAGAUCCCUUGCUCAGUGGGGAUGAGUGCUGAAUCAGAUACCAUUUAGAACCCUUUCUGCAAAGUGCAGGUCAGUCUCGGGGUGGUAUGAGAAUCUUUUCAUUUAAUCUGACAAAGGCACUGCAAGCAUGGAGCUUUUAACAGGGCUGGUUUGGCACACUCUGAAAAACAGUAGACCCAGAUUCCUUCACAGCUCUGCUUUGACACUUUGCAAUAAGGCAGUCUGGCCAAGUAGACCCAGAUUGGCAGGAGCAAGUGCUGUAAUACUCAGUUCUCAGGGGGUGUCCAUGUCAGAAGCCUCAGGAUUCCAAGGCAUGGCAAGUCAGCUGGAAAUUCAGAGUGCCAGGAGGGAAGUCCAAACUUACUUUGCAGAAGAAGGUUCUGCUGUUUCACUGAUCUGA
rnacentral:lncRNA from 1 species